UACGGAGGAUGCAAGCGUUAUCCGGAAUGAUUGGGCGUAAAGCGUCCGCAGGUGGCUGUGUAAGUCUGCUGUCAAAGAGCGAAGCUCAACUUCGUAAAGGCAGUGGAAACUACACGGCUAGAGUGCGUUCGGGGCAGAGGGAAUUCCUGGUGUAGCGGUGAAAUGCGUAGAGAUCAGGAAGAACUCCGGUGGCGAAGGCGGCACGCUGGACCCCCACUGACGCUGAGGCGCGAAAGCCAGGGGAGCGAACGGG
rnacentral:rRNA from 1 species